UACAGAGGGGGCAAGCGUUGUUCGGAAUUACUGGGCGUAAAGGGCGCGUAGGCGGCCCGCUAAGUCGAACGUGAAAUCCCCAGGCUCAACCUGGGAACUGCGUCCGAUACUGGCAGGCUUGAAUCCGGGAGAGGGAUGUGGAAUUCCAGGUGUAGCGGUGAAAUGCGUAGAUAUGACAUAGAACACCAAUUGCGAAGGCAGCUUACUACACAGUAAUUGACACUGAGGCACGAAAGCGUGGGGAUCAAACAGG
rnacentral:rRNA from 1 species